AUGUCGGCGCAGGAGACGGUGCCCGGGCAGGCGGCCUCCAGCGCGGCCUUGGCGCGGGCCACGGCGUCGAAGGCGUCCCCCGGGAGGGAGAGGUUGAUCUCCGCGGCCCGCUCCGGGGUCCGGUCGGAGGAGAGCGGGGAGACGAGGACGGAGGCGUCGCAGCCGGAGACGAAGCAGUCGUGGAAGAAGAGGCGCAGCGUGCCCGCCGCCGUGGACGGGUUGGCCUGCUGCUUGGCGGCGACCACGUCCGAGACGAUCUGCUCCACGCGGGGGCAGCUGCGGCUGUAG
rnacentral:rRNA from 1 species